rnacentral:rRNA from 1 species
UACGGGGGGGCAAGCGUUGUUCGGAAUUACUGGGCGUAAAGGGCGCGUAGGCGGCAAUUCAAGUCAUCUGUGAAAUCUCCGGGCUUAACUCGGAACGGUCAGAUGAUACUGCUUUGCUAGAGUGCAGAAGGGGCAAUCGGAAUUCUCGGUGUAGCGGUGAAAUGCGUAGAUAUCGAGAGGAACACCUGAGGUGAAGACGGGUUGCUGGGCUGACACUGACGCUGAGGCGCGAAAGCCAGGGGAGCAAACGGG